rnacentral:rRNA from 1 species
UACGGAGGGUGCAAGCGUUGUCCGGAUUUAUUGGGUUUAAAGGGUGCGUAGGCGGCCCUGUAAGUCAGUGGUGAAAUACGACAGCUCAACUGUCGAACUGCCAUUGAUACUGCAGGGCUUGAGUACAGACGAGGUAGGCGGAAUUGAUAGUGUAGCGGUGAAAUGCAUAGAUACUAUCAAGAACACCGAUUGCGAAGGCAGCUUACUAGGCUGUAACUGACGCUGAGGCACGAAAAGUGUGGGGGAUCAAAACAGG